rnacentral:rRNA from 1 species
GAAUUCAAAGAUCCCUUCGGGGUGAUUUGUUGGACGCUAGCGGCGGAUGGGUGAGUAACACGUGGGCAAUCUGCCCUAAAGACUGGGAUACCACUUGGAAACAGGUGCUAAUACCGGAUAACAACAUGAAUCGCAUGAUUCAAGUUUGAAAGGCGGCGCAAGCUGUCACUUUAGGAUGAGCCCGCGGCGCAUUAGCUAGUUGGUGGGGUAAAGGCCUACCAAGGCAAUGAUGCGUAGCCGAGUUGAGAGACUGAUCGGCCACAUUGGGACUGAGACACGGCCCAAACUCCUACGGGAGGCAGCAGUAGGGAAUCUUCCACAAUGGACGCAAGUCUGAUGGAGCAACGCCGCGUGAGUGAAGAAGGUUUUCGGAUCGUAAAGCUCUGUUGUUGGUGAAGAAGGAUAGAGGCAGUAACUGGUCUUUAUUUGACGGUAAUCAACCAGAAAGUCACGGCUAACUACGUGCCAGCAGCCGCGGUAAUACGUAGGUGGCAAGCGUUGUCCGGAUUUAUUGGGCGUAAAGCGAGCGCAGGCGGAAUGAUAAGUCUGAUGUGAAAGCCCACGGCUCAACCGUGGAACUGCAUCGGAAACUGUCAUUCUUGAGUGCAGAAGAGGAGAGUGGAACUCCAUGUGUAGCGGUGGAAUGCGUAGAUAUAUGGAAGAACACCAGUGGCGAAGGCGGCUCUCUGGUCUGCAACUGACGCUGAGGCUCGAAAGCAUGGGUAGCGAACAGGAUUAGAUACCCUGGUAGUCCAUGCCGUAAACGAUGAGCGCUAGGUGUUGGGGGCUUUCCGGUCCUCAGUGCCGCAGCAAACGCAUUAAGCGCUCCGCCUGGGGAGUACGACCGCAAGGUUGCAACU